rnacentral:tRNA from 1 species
GGCGAGGUGGCUCAGUGGUAAGAGCGCGGAUUUACUAACCUGUAGGUCCGUGGUUCAAACCCGGCUUCUGCA